rnacentral:pre_miRNA from 1 species
ACAACAUGCGGACCGUUGGUCUACCGAGCAAUAUCACCCGCUCGGUGGAAGAAGAUCUUCCCUUUGUCGU